rnacentral:tRNA from 1 species
GCGUCGAUGAUCUAACGGUUAUGAUCGCGGCUUCCCAAGCCGCUUAUCCGGGUUCGAUUCCCGGUCGACGCA